rnacentral:rRNA from 1 species
UGCCAGCAGCCGCGGUAAUACGAGGGGGGCUAGUGUUAUUCGGAAUAACUGGGCGUAAAGAGUAUGUAGGUGGUCCACCAAGUAAAAAAUAACAUCCCAAAGCUUAACUUUGGUAAUAUUGAUAAACGGGUGAACUUGAGUUUUAUAGGGGAUAGUAGUAUUUCUAGUGUAGGGAUAAAAUCCGUAAAUAUUAGAAGGACUGUUAUAAGCGAAGGCAGCUAUCUGGAUAAGAACUGACACUAAAGUACUAAAGCAUGGGGAGCAAAUAGGAUUAGAUA